rnacentral:rRNA from 1 species
UACAGAGGUCUCAAGCGUUGUUCGGAAUUACUGGGCGUAAAGGGCUCGUAGGCGGCCAACUAAGUCGGACGUGAAAUCCCUCAGCUUAACUGGGGAACUGCGUCCGAUACUGGAUGGCUUGGAUUUGGGAGAGGGAUGCGGAAUUCCAGGUGUAGCGGUGAAAUGCGUAGAUAUCUGGAGGGACACCGGUGGCGAAGGCGGCAUCCUGGACCGGCAUUGACGCUGAGGCGCGAAAGCCAGGGGAGCAAACGGG